rnacentral:misc_RNA from 1 species
GAUGAAGAACGCAGCGAAAUGCGAUACUUGGUGUGAAUUGCAGAAUCCCGUGAACCAUCGAGUCUUUGAACGCAAGUUGCGCCUCAAGCCAUUAGGUUGAGGGCACGUCUGCCUGGGCGUCACAUAUCGUUGCCUGAUGCCAGUUUCCUCGUGAUGGGUGACUGUGCAGGGCGAAUGAUGGCUUCCCGUGAGCAUUGUUGCCUCAUGGUUGGUUGAAAAUUGAGUCCUUGGUAGGGAGCGCCGUGAUAGAUGGUGGUUGAGUGACGAACGAGACCCAAUCAUGUGAGACCCCAACCGAAUUUGGCCUUCAUGACCCACAUGCGUCUUUGGAACGCUCAUGACGAGACCUCAGGUCAGGCGGGGCUACCCGCUGAGUUUAAGCAUAUCAAUAAGCGGAGGA